rnacentral:rRNA from 1 species
ACACUCCUGCGGGAGGCAGCAGUGGGGAAUAUUGGACAAUGGGCGCAAGCCUGAUCCAGCCAUGCAGCGUGAGUGAUGAAGGCCCUAGGGUUGUAAAGCUCUUUCACCGGUGAAGAUAAUGACGGUAACCGGAGAAGAAGCCCCGGCUAACUUCGUGCCAGCAGCCGCGGUAAUACGAAGGGGGCUAGCGUUGUUCGGAUUUACUGGGCGUAAAGCGCACGUAGGCGGACUAUUAAGUCAGGGGUGAAAUCCCGGGGCUCAACCCCGGAACUGCCUUUGAUACUGGUAGUCUUGAGUUCGAGAGAGGUGAUUGGAAUUCCGAGUGUAGAGAUGAAAUUCGUAGAUAUUCGGAGGAACACCAGUGGCGAAGGCGGCUCACUGGCUCGAUACUGACGCUGUGGUGCGAAAGCGUGGGGAGCAAACAGGAUUAGAUACCCGGGUAGUCCCAUG